UCUUUCUUUCUCUUUCUUUCUUUCUCUCCCUCUUUCUUUCAGACAGAGAGAGAGAGAGAGAGAGAGAGAGAGAGAGAGA
rnacentral:miRNA from 1 species